GCAGAGCGACUGGCACGGAGCACUGGCAUUGUCAGAGAGAGAUGGAGACUGGCUGAGGAAGAGGAGGAGAUGUCACCGAGGAAGAUCUCAACCCCCCUGUUGGUCCUGCCACCUAGACGCGAAGAGUCUCUUCAUCUCGCAGGUCAGACUCCAUCCCUCACUUCCCGUCCCGGUCCGGGACCAAAGGAAAUUGGGAAAAGCCGAGAUUCCCCUCGGAAGGGAAAAUGCGAGAUUCCACCAGCUCCUUUUGGGGUGUCAGAUUUGGGAGACCUUCGGAGGUGUGGAAAUGAUUUAUAAAUGCAACGGGACAAAGGCAAGCGACUUUGCAGUCGAAUCUCCUGCAGGCUGAGGACAGUGGAAGGAUCCAAAGAGCAAAAACAUCCCAGCCAGAGGUGAGUGGAAAAUAUCCCUUCACGCACAUUGGUUGUGAAAGAGAAAUAG
rnacentral:lncRNA from 1 species